CUUUUUUUUAUGCCGUCGUUUGUCUGGUGCCCGCGAGCAGAGGAGAGGGAGAGCGGGGGCUUGAGGAGCGGCGGCGGCGGUGGACGUGGCCGGCGAAGACCGCUGGAGGCUGCGGCGCGUCGUGCGGGGGGCUCGAGGAGUGCCAGGCACGGAGGGAGGGGAGGCUGGUCUAAGAGGCGAGGUCAGGAGAUGGCGGGCGAACGUUGGGGUGGGGGCACCGAUCCCAAGGCCCGUCCCGAAGCGGCCGAGCAGAGGCCGCCGGGGUCAAUAAACCGAGUAGCAGCAUAGCGUUCAAAGACUGUAGCGACAUGUGGCAACUGCAGCGGCCUUUAGGCAGACGUGCAUGAGGUGACAGGCGGCCUUGAAACAGGCUGGACUC
rnacentral:rRNA from 1 species